rnacentral:rRNA from 1 species
UUAAGCGACUAAGCGUACACGGUGGAUGCCCUGGCAGUCAGAGGCGAUGAAGGACGUGCUAAUCUGCGAUAAGCGUCGGUAAGGUGAUAUGAACCGUUAUAACCGGCGAUUUCCGAAUGGGGAAACCCAGUGUGAUUCGUCACACUAUCAUUAACUGAAUCCAUAGGUUAAUGAGGCGAACCGGGGGAACUGAAACAUCUAAGUACCCCGAGGAAAAGAAAUCAACCGAGAUUCCCCCAGUAGCGGCGAGCGAACGGGGAGCAGCCCAGAGCCUGAAUCAGUGUGUGUGUUAGUGGAAGCGUCUGGAAAGGCGCGCGAUACAGGGUGACAGCCCCGUACACAAAAAUGCACAUACUGUGAGCUCGAUGAGUAGGGCGGGACACGUGGUAUCCUGUCUGAAUAUGGGGGGACCAUCCUCCAAGGCUAAAUACUCCUGACUGACCGAUAGUGAACCAGUACCGUGAGGGAAAGGCGAAAAGAACCCCGGCGAGGGGAGUGAAAAAGAACCUGAAACCGUGUACGUACAAGCAGUGGGAGCACAGAGCAAUCUGUGUGACUGCGUACCUUUUGUAUAAUGGGUCAGCGACUUAUAUUCUGUAGCAAGGUUAACCGAAUAGGGGAGCCGAAGGGAAACCGAGUCUUAACUGGGCGUUAAGUUGCAGGGUAUAGACCCGAAACCCGGUGAUCUAGCCAUGGGCAGGUUGAAGGUUGGGUAACACUAACUGGAGGACCGAACCGACUAAUGUUGAAAAAUUAGCGGAUGACUUGUGGCUGGGGGUGAAAGGCCAAUCAAACCGGGAGAUAGCUGGUUCUCCCCGAAAGCUAUUUAGGUAGCGCCUCGUGAAUUCAUCUCCGGGGGUAGAGCACUGUUUCGGCAAGGGGGUCAUCCCGACUUACCAACCCGAUGCAAACUGCGAAUACCGGAGAAUGUUAUCACGGGAGACACACGGCGGGUGCUAACGUCCGUCGUGAAGAGGGAAACAACCCAGACCGCCAGCUAAGGUCCCAAAGUCAUGGUUAAGUGGGAAACGAUGUGGGAAGGCCCAGACAGCCAGGAUGUUGGCUUAGAAGCAGCCAUCAUUUAAAGAAAGCGUAAUAGCUCACUGGUCGAGUCGGCCUGCGCGGAAGAUGUAACGGGGCUAAACCAUGCACCGAAGCUGCGGCAGCGACGCUUAUGCGUUGUUGGGUAGGGGAGCGUUCUGUAAGCCUGCGAAGGUGUGCUGUGAGGCAUGCUGGAGGUAUCAGAAGUGCGAAUGCUGACAUAAGUAACGAUAAAGCGGGUGAAAAGCCCGCUCGCCGGAAGACCAAGGGUUCCUGUCCAACGUUAAUCGGGGCAGGGUGAGUCGACCCCUAAGGCGAGGCCGAAAGGCGUAGUCGAUGGGAAACAGGUUAAUAUUCCUGUACUUGGUGUUACUGCGAAGGGGGGACGGAGAAGGCUAUGUUGGCCGGGCGACGGUUGUCCCGGUUUAAGCGUGUAGGCUGGUUUUCCAGGCAAAUCCGGAAAAUCAAGGCUGAGGCGUGAUGACGAGGCACUACGGUGCUGAAGCAACAAAUGCCCUGCUUCCAGGAAAAGCCUCUAAGCAUCAGGUAACAUCAAAUCGUACCCCAAACCGACACAGGUGGUCAGGUAGAGAAUACCAAGGCGCUUGAGAGAACUCGGGUGAAGGAACUAGGCAAAAUGGUGCCGUAACUUCGGGAGAAGGCACGCUGAUAUGUAGGUGAAGUCCCUUGCGGAUGGAGCUGAAAUCAGUCGAAGAUACCAGCUGGCUGCAACUGUUUAUUAAAAACACAGCACUGUGCAAACACGAAAGUGGACGUAUACGGUGUGACGCCUGCCCGGUGCCGGAAGGUUAAUUGAUGGGGUCAGCGCAAGCGAAGCUCUUGAUCGAAGCCCCGGUAAACGGCGGCCGUAACUAUAACGGUCCUAAGGUAGCGAAAUUCCUUGUCGGGUAAGUUCCGACCUGCACGAAUGGCGUAAUGAUGGCCAGGCUGUCUCCACCCGAGACUCAGUGAAAUUGAACUCGCUGUGAAGAUGCAGUGUACCCGCGGCAAGACGGAAAGACCCCGUGAACCUUUACUAUAGCUUGACACUGAACAUUGAGCCUUGAUGUGUAGGAUAGGUGGGAGGCUUUGAAGUGUGGACGCCAGUCUGCAUGGAGCCGACCUUGAAAUACCACCCUUUAAUGUUUGAUGUUCUAACGUUGACCCGUGAUCCGGGUUGCGGACAGUGUCUGGUGGGUAGUUUGACUGGGGCGGUCUCCUCCUAAAGAGUAACGGAGGAGCACGAAGGUUGGCUAAUCCUGGUCGGACAUCAGGAGGUUAGUGCAAUGGCAUAAGCCAGCUUGACUGCGAGCGUGACGGCGCGAGCAGGUGCGAAAGCAGGUCAUAGUGAUCCGGUGGUUCUGAAUGGAAGGGCCAUCGCUCAACGGAUAAAAGGUACUCCGGGGAUAACAGGCUGAUACCGCCCAAGAGUUCAUAUCGACGGCGGUGUUUGGCACCUCGAUGUCGGCUCAUCACAUCCUGGGGCUGAAGUAGGUCCCAAGGGUAUGGCUGUUCGCCAUUUAAAGUGGUACGCGAGCUGGGUUUAGAACGUCGUGAGACAGUUCGGUCCCUAUCUGCCGUGGGCGCUGGAGAACUGAGGGGGGCUGCUCCUAGUACGAGAGGACCGGAGUGGACGCAUCACUGGUGUUCGGGUUGUCAUGCCAAUGGCACUGCCCGGUAGCUAAAUGCGGAAGAGAUAAGUGCUGAAAGCAUCUAAGCACGAAACUUGCCCCGAGAUGAGUUCUCCCUGACUCCUUGAGAGUCCUGAAGGAACGUUGAAGACGACGACGUUGAUAGGCCGGGUGUGUAAGCGCAGCGAUGCGUUGAGCUAACCGGUACUAAUGAACCGUGAGGCUUAACCUU